AAACCUGUCCGUGGCUGGCAGCCCUGUGAUACCUCGCCACAUUCUGCAACAGAAUCCGAGAUAGAGGUAGAAGUGGGGGAGUACGUCGUGGCUGUCAGGGCAGCUUUCUGUAAAAUGCUGCCUGGAGGAGCAUGUGAUUCCAGACCCUCCUCUCUGCAACGAAAGUGAGGUUGACACCUGCAGGCCUGGGGCCUCCUGGCCCACUGAGCAGAACACACAGAAGCUGGGCCCACCCCUGCCCUCCCCACAAAGGGUCACGGGAGCCACCGCCUGACUUUGAAGCCCACUGACUUGCGGCUGACAAGAGAAAAGCAUUGUGAGGUUUUGGGCAGAACGUGGCUGCACUGUGCACGCGGUGAGGGAUCGAAGGGGGCCCCCAAAGACACUCGAAGAACAGUGGGGGCCCUGAAAAGUGCCAAUGCUGAGCCCAGACAGAUGGAAGACCUUGGACAAAUUCCCCGACACCCCUGAGCCUCGAUUUCCUCAUCUGAAAAGUGGGGUGGUGAUGACAGCACAUCUCAGAGGGCUGGGAGGACGAAGCCACCAAGUGACAGCUGCGAUGGAUCCACAGGGGCAGCAGCCGAGCAACCCGAGAUCUGCAGAGCCAUGGUGGGCCCAGCCCCAUCCUGCCCCCCAUGCAGCCAGUGAGAAGCCCUGCUGCUGGAGGGGAUGGAGCUACGGGGACCGAUCAAUUACACCACAGUGUGAGGUCUCUGUGCCUUCCAAACUCCAUCCUGAGUGUUUAUUGCCUCAAAAAUGAAGGGUGGGAGCCCCAAAGACCAAACAAACAGCUGAUGAGAGAGAGAGAGAGAGAGAGAGGGAGAGAGAGAAAGAAUGGGUCUGCACUGCAGCCUGUGCUAUAACAAGAGACAGAGGGACCCUCUUGACUGGGGUCUCCAGCUGAGAGCGGGGAGGCCCCCUGGGGAGGUCUCUUCCAAGGUCUGAGGAAGGAGGAGAGGUGGAUGGGGCCUUGGGAUUAGGGAGAUGGGGCGGGGCCACCAUGUGUUGGCUGUGGGGCCCUGGGCAAGGAGUUAACCUCUCUGUGCCUCAGUCUCCUCCUCUAUAAAAUGGGUAUGACAGACAGUAAUAGUCUCUCCACCCUUAAAGGGCCGUUGUGAAGAUUAAAGAAGUGAACAAUUGUUGGUGCUUGGAGCAAAGCCUGGCUCUGGCAGUGGGCUUUGUAUUUAUGUUUGGUCAGUAUAUAAGAGUAAAUGCUUAAGACCAGCUGGGGAACCACAGCGAGAUCCCAUCUCCACAAAAAAUAAAAUUAAAAAAAAAAAUUAGCCGGACAUGGUAGCAUGUGCCUGUGUUCCCAGCUACUGCGGAGGCAGGAGGAUGGCUUGAGCCUCGGGAGGCUGCAGUGAGCCAUGAUCGCACCACUGCACUCCAGCCUGGGCGACAGAGUGAGGCACCAUCUUAGAAAAAAAAAAGUAAAUGUCCCUGCUACCCGCAGGCUUCCCACCCAUAGGCCUGCAGGCCCAGCUGCUUAUUGGAGCCGGCCUGAGGUGGAGUCAGGGGUCUUCCUUUCUUUAUCUUCUUUCCUGCCACCCCCACCCCAGCUCCUGUGGCUCCUCCCCUUGUCCCGGAGGAAGAGGACACUGAGUGGCACCUCACCACACUUCCCCUGAGGUCCCAACACAGGUGGGCCGUGGAUGCUUCCUAAGCCUCCGCUGUGCCUCCUACUGACACAGUGAGA
rnacentral:lncRNA from 10 species